UCUAAAAGCUUUUUAAAGGAGGUUGUACUUUUUAAACACUCAGUGUGAUAACUAAUUUACAGACAGAGAGACACUUAAAUAAUACGAAGAGUAUGUCACGUAAACUAAACUUUAUCAAUCUGUGGCUGGUGUCGUUCUUAUGGAUGUGGCUAUUUGCAUGUGGAAUUGCUGAAGAAAACGAUUUUGAUACGUCUAAUUUUUUAAGAUCUCGGAGAAACCUGUGCGAAGAACAUGCAGGAUCAUGCAGGUUUUGGUGUCAUCCAAGGUUCCAAAGAUUUGCCAUUAACUGCCUCCGAAACGAAGUAUGCUGUGUUGACUAUUAAACUGCUUAGAAAAAUUUGACAAAAUUGAGCCAUUAAAAAAAUAUAUAUUACAUAAGUUCAUUGCUACAACCGAAAAUCAAUUGCAAUUGCAGUAAAAUUGCAGUAAAAUUUUAAACUCAAUCAAA